AGAAAAAUAGUUUUUUGUCUUUGUGUCAUUAACGGAACAUCAUAUUUCAUGAAUAGCAUCUCUAAAUGGACUCCUUUCUACUUCUAUUCACAUUGCUUUGUAUUCAAGCAGAUUUCAGUGACAGUGUUUUGAUCACUCAAUGGCCGGAGUACAUAUCCAGCCUUCCAGGAUCUUCAGUUGAAAUGCACUGUUACCAGAAUGAUACAGACUAUGACUACAAAUACUGGUACAGGCAUAUAAAAGGUGAAGGGCCAGUGCUUAUUGGAAGCUACAUUGUUAACUCUCCCUCUAAUGAGAAGGGUUUUGAAACUGGCUUUAAAGUGUCGGGUACAGAGAAAAAGAAAUGGACCCUGACUGUGGAUGUUAAGGAGGGGAUUGAUGCUGUGUAUCUGUGUGCUGCUAGUUUACACAGUGAAUAAAAGACAAUAAACUAUACGACAUAAAACUC